GCCGCUUUAGCUCAGCAGGUAGAGCGCAUCCAUGGUAAGGAUGAGGUCGUCAGUUCAAAUCUGAUAAGCGGCU
rnacentral:tRNA from 2 species